AACGCACGAGACCUGCGGACCUGCGGAAGGAUCAUUAGAGAUAACAAAAACAAACCAAACCAUUGUGAACGGCGUUCGCGCCAGGCGUUCGCGCCAUUACAAACUUAGCCGGCCAAAAUGUGAAUACUAUAACAAAUACAACUUUCAACAAUGGAUCUCU
rnacentral:misc_RNA from 1 species